UACAAUGUCACUAAUUAUUGUUUACUUUAUUUAAAGGUGGUUGUUUAUACAGUCCCAAUCAAACAAGGUACAUAUAAUCCAAAUUACAUUACACUAAAACUAACAUUAAAUUAACUUAGAAUAAGCAUAUUUCAGGAAACGACUUGUGAGUUGGUGGAGGACCAAAUGGAAUCAUAUCUAGAUGAGAUUCUAAUGCAGGCCAAAGAGAGAUUCAGGAUUUCUGAUCUGAUACAGAGAUUUGAUGGAGUUCUUUCAAAUGGUUCUGAGUGGACAUCACAAUUAUCGAACUCAUCUUCAGAAAUAAACUUUAGGUAACAAGUUAUCCAAUUAUCUCUAUUUAUCAUGUAAAAUAAAUGUUUUCAAUUUUGAACACCAGCAGUAUUAUAGGGUCAUUUAUAUUCUGACACUUUUCAUUCUGACUUUUAAUAAAAUAUUGUGUUUCAGAAUGAAGUUAUACCCGUAUGUGGAUAAUAACACUUUACUCUGUCAUACAUGGCAACAUGAUAUCUCAGAAUUCUCCAAACUAAGAAUUAAUCCUACCACAGAUAAAGGUUAAUUAUUAAAAUUUAUUGACUAGAAAUGUUUAAGAUAUAAGAUGAGCUUUUGUUGUAAAAAUACCCAUUUAUCAGGCCACUUUCAAAUAAAUCAUUUCCUUGCAAAAUGUUUCCUAAAUAUAUAUAGAACCAUCCAUCUUUAGACAUUUUUAAAAAAAAACAUAAAAAAUCAUUUGUUGCAAAUCAUUACCAAUCGCACUUCAGAAAUAACCUCUAAAAGUCAGAAACUAAACCUCAGAAGUUUUCUAUGUAUCAAUACAUCCUAUAACAAAAGUAACCACUUGUAAGUAUCUUGUGAAAAAGACUAUGCACCACUUUUAAUCAACAUAAUAUUGAAAUCAUGGAUACAUUUUUUCAAAAUCUUAUAUAAUUUGAUAUUAUUCCUACAUGUUUAGAAGUUUCUUUAUAUGUUCACAAGAGGGGACAACUUCUGCUGAGUAAUCUUCGAAAUGAACUGAUAGAAAUUGAAAAUAUUGACCACAUAGUUGAAAUAGAGUUAAGCGGUGAUAUUUCAACACCUACCACAGAGUGUGCAGAGGGUGCGGAGUCCAUUGAUUCUUGUGUAGAAACAACCAUGUUUUAUCAACUGCAAGAUCAAUAUAAUUUUUUCAACAAACCAAGUAAUGGGUCAUUCUGCACCAACUCUGCAAGAAUAUUAGAAGCAAUGAAAAUUUUCCAAUCAAGUAUAAACAGUUGUGUACCUCCCUGUACUCAAGUUAAAGUAAACAUGAGACUCAACCCUGUGAACUGGCUUAACGUAAUGACAAAUUCAAAGAUAUCCAACAAUCUAUUUACUCCAGGGUAUUUCAUCAAAAUCCCAUCAUCUGUUAUGUAUUCAGAAAUGAAGGAAAGUUAUACUUGGAUUUCCUUUAUUGCCGAAUUCGGAGGAUGGGUUGGACUAUUUCUAGGUUUCUCAAUACUUGGAACCUUUGAAAUUGUGGAGAACAAGAUUUUUAGUUCUAAUGCUAUAAGGUUUAAAAAAGCUGUAUCAGAAAGUGGAUUGAUUCUAAAAAUGGCAUGCUCACUUGGAGUCCUUUUUAUAGUGACUCAUUGUGGACUUAAACUCAUGAGAAAUGAAAAAUCAAUGGAUGUAAAAAUAGUGGAGAAUCUAAAUGAUGUAAGCAUAUCCCUAUGUUCUGUUGAAAAUAUUUACCAAGGAAGCCUAAACAAUACAAAUUAUUAUAUGGGAAAUUCCACAUCAUUUUGGAAUAAUAUUAUGCAGCUUAAAGACAAAUUAGAAAUGAUGGAGCUAGUUCUUGAAGAUGGGAAUGUUGUCACUAUCUAUGAUAUAUCAUGGAAUCAAAGUUCUGAGUAUAUUUCAUAUUCCAUCAACACACCGCAGUUUGAUACAUUUAUAGAAACAUGUCAUACACUGGAUCUGAAACACUGGAAUAGAAUUAAGAGAAUGGAAAUAGAAGCAAAGAAAGAAUUAACAAUCUAUGUUCAUAUAACAGGCCAACUUCUUAGAUCAGGAAGACAGGGCUUUAGUUUCAUGAACAUAAAUACAACCACUCUAUAUGGGAAUAACUUUGGACUUGUAACAUCUUCAUCACAUUUGUUUAACCUUGAUAUUUUGAAUGAAGAGCAGAUCAUUGAAGAUGGAUAUAGUGAAUAUUACACCUAUGAUGACUGUAUUCUAGACAAUGUUGCAAAGAACUAUCAUGAUCAUGACAUAAAGGAUAUCUUGAAAUCAGAGGAAAAUAAGAUGAUUACUAAAGGAAUUGAUGAAUCUUAUUUUCAAGAUUUCACUAAUCAGUUUAAAGACAUGAAAAAUCGUGAUGCUUGCAAUGACCCUAAUUUAAAGCUUCAGACAACCUUUACCCUUACACGUCUGAAUAUCGAUAGAAAUACUUGGAUUGGUUAAAAAUCUUACUUUUUAUUUGGUCUGGAGUUUCCCCGAUCUACACUGCUAAAGGAGGUUUAUUCGUCAUAUGAUAUGAUUUCUCUUAUCGGAGAAGUAGGAGGAUGGACAGGGUUAUUAUUAGGAUACAGGUAUAAUUAACAUUUUGUUAAUUUCCUCUAAAAUGUAUAUCGUUUGUUUAGUGUCCUAGCUUUUGCAUACACGAUCAGGGGAAAACUGAGCCAAAAUAUGGGGUCUAAGAUAUUUCUUAGUAUUGUUAUUGGACUAUCUGCUGCUAUGCUAUACCAGCUUACACUCUCAACACAGAAGCUGCAGGAUAACCUGACAGGAACUAAAGUAGAAUACAUGGAAACAGAUCCUCAUCUUAAUAUUUCAUUAUCAAUUUGUAAUUACAAGUCUGCCUGGCCUUUAGAGAAUAUUACAGAACUAUACCGCUUUGACUCAAUAUUUCAAAGAGGUAAUGCAGAUACUGAAUGGACUGAUUAUACAGAUACUCUGUCAGAGAUGUUCUUAUGGAAAGAAGGAAAACGAGAUGUUUUUUUAUGUAAAACAUUGAAUUUCACUGGAGAAGAAGUUAAAAUUGUUCAUAGCUUUCGUUUCUAUCAAGCUGUUUUUCUUCAUGAUCCCAGCUUUAUCACUGGUGGAACUUCUUUCAAGCUACCAGGUCAUGGGCUGCAGGGGAACAAAAUUCUCCUUUUGAAUGCUUAACAGAUUCAAAGUAUUGAAGAAGAAAACGUUUGCUCGAAUUUGAUUGAAUUUGAUUCCUGCAGAGAUGAUUAUAUAGCACGAGAAUUUAAUAGUACAUUUGGAUGCAUCUUCUUUAAUAUGAAGUAAGAAAAUAAAAAUGAAACAAUUUUUGAAUCUGGGGAUAUAUUUGUACAGAAUUAGAAUUAGUCUUACUUUUACUUAAGGAAUCAAGCACAGAAAUUAAUAAUUUAACAUUUGAUUUUGAAUAAGCAUAAAGCUAUUGUCAUUCCUAAUUUUAUCCCAUUCUCAGCAACAUAAUUUAUUCCUUGUUCAUCCCUGGGUUUUAUCUUUUUCUCCCAGAAUACAUUGUAAAUAUAUUUUUGUGCACCCAAGGGAGAAAAGUGAUUAAGGAUUUAAUGUUUCAUGUAAUUUUCAUUCUCCUUUAAAUUUUGCAUGUUUAAAAUCUGUUUUUUCAAUACUUCUUCAUGAAUAUACAUUACAAUUCAAAGUUUAUUUAAUCAUUACUAGA
rnacentral:misc_RNA from 1 species